GCAAACGUGUAGUCAUUUUGACUAAUAAACAUAAAUUUUUUCAUAAAUACAAGACUUAUAAGGAUCUUGGAGAUACUGAAAAUACUGAAAAAAAAAACGAAUUGGCUUUAAAACGUUAUUCCCAACAAUCGGAUUUUCGAAGAGACAUAAUAAAAGGAUCUAUCCGUGCUCAAAGACNGAAAACAGUUACUUGGAAAUUUUUUCAAAAAAGGGUGCAUUCGCCGCUUUUUUUGGAUCAAAUUGAAAAAUCAUUAUUCUUUUCUUUUGAUAGUUUAACUCUUCAAUUAUCCUAAUAUGGGUCUCGAUUUUGUACAAUACAUUAUAGGAACGAGUAUGUCCUAAGUACCUACACCUAAACAUGUUCAGUCCACAUGGUAUGUGAUACGGAAUUCGAUUCUCCUCGAGAGACUUUUCUCUUUGUCUUGAUUUUCCUCCUAUUCUUUUGCUUCUUUCUCGCCAUCUUCGAUACUUUUCUGACUUCUGAAAACGCAAUGAAAA
rnacentral:lncRNA from 1 species